GCCUGGGUGGCUCAAGAGAUAGAGUGCUUGAUUUAGAAUCAAGGAGACCUUUGUUUGAAUUCUGUCUCAGGCA
rnacentral:tRNA from 1 species